rnacentral:lncRNA from 1 species
GUCUAUGAUUCCUUGGUCAUUUGUUUUCUUUAGCUGAUAUCAGUCUGAGUCACUUCAUGUAAAAUUCAGUGACUAAGGAUUACAUUUAAUUAACAUGGAUCUCAGCUGCUUACCACACCGUUGCAUCUUUGGUAGAUGGCAAAAGCAUUAGAGACUGUUAGGUAGCAGAAGGUCUGUAAAAGCACCACAGUGGGACAGAUCAGUCACAGCAUCUCUCAGUCACCCUAGGUCGGGCAGUGGUCAUUCAGGGACACAGGAAUCUGUUGUUCAGCUGUCAGCCAAGUUCAUGAAUAUCUGUGCCUUUCAAAUUCCUCCCAAGAAAGAGGUGAAGUCCCUUGGAACGAUAACUGUAGCAUGGCAUUUAAAAAUCUCUUCAUCAAUUAAUCAUGUUCCUGGAGAGUAGGAGUAAUAACAAGAAUACACACCAUUAUCAUAAAAAGGUAAGAAGAUUUUUAAAAGGGUAUGAAUCAGUCUUUAGCUGCAGUCUGUUUUGAAUUAUCAAAGGCAACAGGGAGAAAGAGAAAGGGAGUGGAGAAAUGAAAUAACCCACGUGAAAUAAUAGCACAGGAAAUACAAAACAUAUGCAAGCUAAGUUAUCGAAAUACACCAACAUAUUUGUCUUCAAAAAAUGCCUUGUAAACAUCUC